GAUGAACGCUGGCGGCGUGCCUAAUACAUGCAAGUCGAGCGAACAGACGAGGAGCUUGCUCCUCUGACGUUAGCGGCGGACGGGUGAGUAACACGUGGAUAACCUACCUAUAAGACUGGGAUAACUUCGGGAAACCGGAGCUAAUACCGGAUAAUAUAUUGAACCGCAUGGUUCAAUAGUGAAAGACGGUUUUGCUGUCACUUAUAGAUGGAUCCGCGCCGCAUUAGCUAGUUGGUAAGGUAACGGCUUACCAAGGCAACGAUGCGUAGCCGACCUGAGAGGGUGAUCGGCGACACUGGAACUGAGACACGGUCCAGACUCCUACGGGAGGCAGCAGUAGGGAAUCUUACGCAAUGGGCGAAAGCCUGACGGAGAAACGCCGCGUGAGUGAUGAAGGUCUACGGAUCGUAAAACUCUGUUAUAAGGGAAGAACAAAUGUGUAAGUAACUAUGCACGUCUUGACGGUACAUAAUCAGAAAGCCACGGCUAACUACGUG
rnacentral:rRNA from 1 species